CUUAUCUUCUUACCAUUUGGGCCGGUAAAAAUAUUGGUAGCUGGUAAUUUCCAGACAGCCUGAGACGGGUGAAAAUUGCAGGGGACAGAAAAGAAAAAUGUUACGCUAAUUAUUGAACUCCCAUGGAAACUCGGGGGCUCUAUCAACGAUGAUAGAUCUUCACCUUCCCAUCGCUUUCCCACUUCACCACUCCCUUACCGAUAGAUCUUCGAUCAGGUAAACCCGCCACGUCAUGGAAGCAGCUCUCUUAUGUUGUUAGUUUCCUAUUUGAGAAAAUGCAUGUAAGAUUAUGAUGAUGGGUCUCUACACACGACGGUAGAGAUAGAAUUAUUGUUACCGGAGAUGAGGACUAGAGGUAUAAUAGGGGCGUUGUUGAAAUCUUUCGGUCCAAGUGAGCAUGGCACUCGCCUUGUUCGUAAAGGAAGAAGGUUGGGUCGAUUUGUCAGACACAAAUUCUGGCUCUAGGGUGUUUCUCUUUGCAGCAAUCUUUUUGAUUUACUUGCUACUCUUCGGCCUCAACAUGCAUUUUCCUGCUAAACUAGAAGGUAGUGGUCUAGUAUCCGUAUUUCAGCACGGCAAGAAAUUUUUGCCAUUUCAUGUUGUUGGAAGACCACCCAGAUGCAAGCAUUGUCAGUAGUGUAAGUGUGAAGUGUUAUAUUUUCAAUGUUUCAUAUCACAACCCUUGAGUUUAUUAUUGAUUUAGUGCUUAUGCAUAUGAAGAUGUGAUGUCUUUUUCUUUCUUGUUCGUUGGAUUGUACAAAGAUACAAAAUUUGCAAACCAGUUUAUCCCUAUGGCUCAUCCCUUUUGCCCCCUCCCAUAUAAUGAUUUUCCAAAUUUGCCUUGCGAGGUUGGGUUUUUGGAAUAAGUUGAGUAUCUUGUUGAACCUAAGGAAGUCAUGAACUUCACACUGUUUUCACUAGAGUUCAUUGACCAAGAGGGAAUACCUUCCCUUAGUAAUAUAUAUGAACCUAGAUUUGGAGGACAUCAGACACUUGAGGAAAGAGAGCAAUCUUUCUUUGCGAAGAAUCAAACUCUACAUUGUGGAUUUAUCAAAGGACCCCCUGGAUUCUCAAGCACUGGAUUUGAUAUAGAUGCGAAGGACAAGGCAUACAAGAACGAGUGUAAGAUUGCAGUAUCUUCUUGCAUUUUUGGAAGCUCUGACUUUCUUAGGAGGCCUACAAGCAAAAAGGACUGUGAGCGCAGAGCACUAGUAAAGCUAUUCCGGCAUAGGGAAGAGCCAUCUCCUCCAGGACCUCCACCUGUUACUUGAUCAGUAAUUAUUAUUUGCAGUUAUUCGGGGACGGAGACUGAAGUGAAAACCAAGCUAAUGUCAGCUGCUUGUCUGGCGAGAUUGAAUGGGUUAAGUCGUUGUAGGCUUGUAGCUGCUGCUGAGCCUGAAUGGCUGGUGGUUUUUGUUGUUGUUGCAACUUUCACCUGACCAUAUAGGACACAGAGAGGAAUUUAAUUUAGCAUUACAAAAAUGAUCCAAAGAUCGGACGGCCACAAGUCUCAACUGCUGUUUCAAACUGGGAAAGGCAGACCAAGCAAUGCUGUUGAGGACAUUGGUAGGGAAGGGACUUAUUUUCCUCUACUGUAAUAUUCAGUUCCAUACCCGACUUUCUGAUUUUCCUGAAAGAAGGGUGGUUUAGAAACUAACAGGUUGUAAUAUUCGUUUGUAUAGCCCUAUACAUUUUUAAUGUAGAAGAAUUUAGCUCACCUCCAACACAUGAAGGGAUGAUAGCCAUUCUGUACUUCGUAGAAAUUCAUUAAUAUGUGACAUUCAUCCAAAUAUCUAUGAAAACUCAUGUGGUUCUCAUCUCAA